rnacentral:rRNA from 1 species
GGCUCAGAACGAAGGCUGGCGGCGUGCUUAACACAUGCAAGUCGAACGAACCUUCGGGUUAGUGGCGGACGGGUGAGUAACGCGCGAGAAUCUGCCCUCAGGAGGGGGAUAACGGUUGGAAACGACCGCUAAUACCCCAUAUGCCGAGAGGUGAAAAGAAAUUCGCCUGAGGAUGAGCUCGCGUCUGAUUAGCUAGUUGGUGUGGUAAUGGCGCAGCGCAAGGCUUCGAUCAGUAGCUGGUCUGAGAGGAUGAUCAGCCACACUGGGUC